UUCCGAUCUCUAGCUAAGGUCCCUAAAUCCAUGUUAAGUGUAAAAGGUGGUUUUAACUCUUAUACAACCAGGAGGUUGGCUUAGAAGCAGCCAUCCUUUAAAGAAAGCGUAACAGCUCACUGGUCUAAAUAAGAGGUUCUGCGGCGAAGAUGUAACGGGGCUAAAGUGAUGCACCGAAGCUUAGGGUGUGGCGCAAGCCACGCGGUAGCGGAGCGUUCCGUAAGCCUGUGAAGAUCGACCCGGGAGGGCGGUUGGAGGUAUCGGAAGUGAGAAUGCUGACAUGAGUAGUGAAUCUUCCGAUGAAAACACGGAUUACCGAAUGAUCAAGGUUUCCUCAGCAACGUCAAUCGACUGAGGGUUAGUCGGAUCUAACUGGCGCAUCGAUUGGUGCGUCGGGAUGUACAAACGGUCAAUAUUCCGUUACAAGGUAAUACGCGUUAUUACUGUAUUGAUGACGAAGUUCGUUCUUUUGAGCCUUCUAUAUGUGGGUCUAAAUGACAAAUCUUUUCGUAAGUUAAGGUGAGUUAUGAAUGCAAUCGGUCGUAAGACUGAAAGUCAAAAAGAAUGCGUUUCCGGGAAAAGUCAAUGCAGGAGUUUAUUAUUUUUCCGUACCGUAAACCGACACAGGUGAACUGGUAGAGAAUACCAAGGCAGACGAGUAAGGUUAGUUCAAGGAACUAGGCAAAAAAGCGAGCGUAAGGUUUCCGAUAUGCUCUGCCGUCUUCGGACGGCUGCAACCAACGUUUAUCAACCGACUGUUUAUCAAAAACACAGGCUUCUGCAAACCAGAAAAUGGGACGUAUAGAAGCUGAGACCUGUCCGGUGCUGGUAAGUUAAUCAUUGGGAUUGACUGCUUCAAUUUAUUGUUGCAGAAGGUUCUGGUGCAAGCUCCAGUGAACGACAGCUCUAACCCUGAGAGUUCUAAGGUAGCGUAGCCCCUUGCCGGGUAAGUUCCGGCCCGCAUGAAAGGUAUAACGAGUUGAUAACUGUCUUGAACUAAUGCUCGACGAACAUGAAUUGGCUGUGAAGAUGCGGCCUACCUGCACAUGGACAAAAAGACCCCAGAAGCUUUACUGAAGCUUGUCAUUGGUCGGAAGAAAGAGACUGUCGAGCGUAGGAGGGAGACCUCGGUCGCCAAUGGAACACCUCUCUUCUCUUUUUUCUUACCUCAUCAACCAAUUGUUGAAACAGUGAUAGGUGGUCAGUUUAACUGGGGCGGUUUCCUCCAAAAAAGUAACGGAGGAGCGCAAAGGUCAGCUUAUUCCGGAUGGAAAUCGGAAUGAAAGUGCAAUUGCAAAAGCUGGCUUAACUGUGAGAAUGACUAUUCGAACAGAUACGAAAGUAGGCAAUAGUGAUCCCCCGCACGACUGUGAUUGUCGUCGGGGCUUAACGGAUAAAAGCUACUCUGGGGAUAACAGGCUAGUCACGCCCGAGCGUCCAUAGCGACGGCGUGGUUCGGCACCUCGAUGUCGGCUCAUCACAUCCUGGGGGUGUAGUAGCUCCCAAGGGUUGGGCUGUUCGCCCAUUAAAGUGGUACGCGAGCUGGGUUCAGAACGUCGUGAGACAGUUCGGACUCUAUCCUGUGCAGGCGUCGGAAAAUUGAAGGGACUCUUCCCUAGUACGAGAGGACCGGGAAUGAAGAAACCCCUGGUGUACCGGUUGUACCACAAGUGCA
rnacentral:rRNA from 1 species